UGGGGAAUAUUGCACAAUGGGGGAAACCCUGAUGCAGCGACGCCGCGUGAGCGAAGAAGUAUUUCGGUAUGUAAAGCUCUAUCAGCAGGGAAGAAAAUGACGGUACCUGACUAAGAAGCACCGGCUAAAUACGUGCCAGCAGCCGCGGUAAUACGUAUGGUGCAAGCGUUAUCCGGAUUUACUGGGUGUAAAGGGAGCGUAGACGGCUGUGUAAGUCUGAAGUGAAAGCCCGGGGCUCAACCCCGGAACUGCUUUGGAAACUAUGCAGCUAGAGUGUCGGAGAGGUAAGUGGAAUUCCUAGUGUAGCGGUGAAAUGCGUAGAUAUUAGGAGGAACACCAGUGGCGAAGGCGGCUUGCUGGACGACAACUGACGCU
rnacentral:rRNA from 1 species